rnacentral:rRNA from 1 species
AUUGAACGCUGGCGGCAGGCCUAAUACAUGCAAGUCGAACGAGUGGCGGACGGGUGAGUAAUGUCUGGGCAACUGCCUGACCGAGGGGGCUAACUACGGGAAAAGGUAGCUAAUACCGCUUACCAUCGGAUGUGGCCAGAUGGGUUUAGCUAGUCGCGGGGGUAACGGUUCAUCUAGGGGACGAUUCCUACCUGGUCUGAGAGGAUGAUCAGCCACACUGGAACUGAGACACGGCACAGACUCCUACGGGAGGCAGCAGUGGGGAAGAGUUGGCAAUGGGCGAAAGCCUGAUCGAGCCAUGCCGCGUGUGUGAAGAAGGCUUUCGGGUGGUAAAGCUCUGUCGGCGAGGAGGCGUUACUCGCAGAAGAAGCAACGGCUAACUCCGUGCCAGCAGCCGCGGUAAUAC